GUUGGAUUUUAGUGGGUUAUUUUAGAUAAUUGGUCGGAUAGAACUAUUCUUGUACUAGUUAUCACCACUUUUACUUACUGGUUACUCGACUCUGUACUUUAUUGGAUGGAGUAGUAUCGCAAGGUAUCAUUAAGAGUUAAAUUGCUUGUAAAUGUAGGUUUGAGGUAAAACUUGGAUUGAAAUUUGCAGGAUCACAGUUUGAUUUUUAAUGGGGUUCCAGUUCAUUUACUUUGAGUAAAUUAGAGUGUUCAAAGCAGCCUCUUGGGGCAUUGAAUAUAUUAGCAUGGGAUAAUAGAAUAGGAUUUCUUCUAUAUUUUGUUGGUUUAUUAUAGAUUGAAAUAAUGAUUAAUAGGGAUAGUUGGGGGGCACUUGUAUUCAAUAGUCAGAGGUGAAAUUCUAGGAUUUAUUGAAGACAAACUUCAGCGAAAGCAUUUGCCAAGGAUGUUUUCAUUAAUCAAGAACGAAAGUUAGGGGGAUCGAAGACGAUUAGACACCGUCGUAGUCUUAACUAUAAACUAUGCCGACCAGGG
rnacentral:rRNA from 1 species